rnacentral:rRNA from 1 species
UACGAAGGGGGCUAGCGUUGUUCGGAAUCACUGGGCGUAAAGGGCGCGUAGGCGGCUUUAUAAGUCGGGGGUAAAAGCCUGUGGCUCAACCACAGAAUUGCCUUCGAUACUGUAGAGCUUGAGACCGGAAGAGGUAAGUGGAACUGCGAGUGUAGAGGUGAAAUUCGUAGAUAUUCGCAAGAACACCAGUGGCGAAGGCGGCUUACUGGUCCGGUUCUGACGCUGAGGCGCGAAAGCGUGGGGAGCAAACAGG